GACGUAGGGCGCGAGCGUUGUCCGGAUUUAUUGGGCGUAAAGAGCUCGUAGGCGGCUUGUCGCGUCGAAUGUGAAAACUCGGGGCUCAACUCCGAGCUUGCAUUCGAUACGGGCAGGCUAGAGUUCGGUAGGGGAGACUGGAAUUCCUGGUGUAGCGGUGAAAUGCGCAGAUAUCAGGAGGAACACCGGUGGCGAAGGCGGGUCUCUGGGCCGGUACCGACGCUGAGGAGCGAAAGCGUGGGGAGCGAACAGG
rnacentral:rRNA from 1 species